GACAAACACGUGGUUUUGAUAAAGAGAUAAAUUGCGCCGCGGCGUCAUUAGCGACCUCUUUCUUCCUGGUCGCGCUGAUGGAGGUCGUGUGUCGGCGGGCGGAGGCGACCGAACCUCCCCGACGUGUCAGAGCCGGGGGCCUGGACGAGAUCUGAACUGAUGAGAUGAGGUUAUGGGACACGGGACAAACUGAGAACUCUGCUGCGUUGCUUUAGAAGGUGAAACUAAGCUGCAUAAUAUUUCUACUUGAUCACUGUUCAUAGUUGUAGGUCAAUCUCAAACCCUGACUAUAUAUGCAUAUAGUCAAAAUCCCUAUUUUAAAAUAUGUAUUUCUUAAUUGAUUCUAUAAGUGCUCUGCUGAAAUAUUUACAUUUAUGAUGUCAUCAGUUUUAAUUGAGAAGAUCAUGGUGUAUUGGACUUCUAUAAUAGUCAGAUCCAGUCCAAAACACAAUCUUUUUCCCCGAACGUGUAAUUAGAAUUUUCCGAUUUCCAACCAUUUUGCCAAAAGUGAACAUGGUCUUGUGACGAGGUAUGAACUGUAAAAAUCCAUCUGUCGAAUAAAGAUGAAUCUAUUAAA